rnacentral:rRNA from 1 species
AGUGAACGCUGGCGGCGUGCUUAACACGUGCAAGUCGAACGAGAACGGGUUAUAGCUUGCUAUAAUUGUCAGCUAAGUGGCACACGGGUGAGUAAUGUAUAGGUAAUAUGCCUCUUACUAAGGGAUAACAAAUGGAAACGUUUGCUAAUACCUUAUACUCCUUAUUAACAUAAGUUAAUAAGGGAAAGAUUUAUUGGUAAGAGAUUAGCCUGUGUUGUAUCAGUUAGUUGGUGGGGUAAUGGCUUACCAAGACUAUGACACAUAACUGGUUUGAGAGGAUGAUCAGUCACACUGGAACUGAGACACGGUCCAGACUCCUACGGGAGGCAGCAGUGGGGAAUAUUGCACAAUGGACGAAAGUCUGAUGCAGCAACGCCGCGUGGAGGAUGACACAUUUCGGUGCGUAAACUCCUUUUAUAUGAGAAGAUAAUGACGGUAUUAUAUGAAUAAGCACCGGCUAACUCCGUGCCAGCAGCAGCCGCGG